rnacentral:rRNA from 1 species
UACGUAGGGUGCAAGCGUUAAUCGGAAUUACUGGGCGUAAAGGGCGCGUAGGCGGCCUUCUAAGUCGAACGUGAAAUCCCUGGGCUCAACCCAGGAACUGCGUCCGAUACUGGAAGGCUUGAAUCCGGGAGAGGGAUGCGGAAUUCCCGGUGUAGCAGUGAAAUGCGUAGAGAUCGGGAGGAACAUCUGUGGCGAAGGCGGCCAUCUGGACCAGCACUGACACUGAGGCACGAAAGCGUGGGGAGCAAACAGG